CACGUAGGGCGCAAGCGUUGUCCGGAAUUAUUGGGCGUAAAGAGCUCGUAGGCGGUCUGUUGCGUCCGCUGUGAAAACUCGGGGCUUAACCCCGAGCCUGCAGUGGAUACGGGCAGACUAGAGGUAGGUAGGGGAGAAUGGAAUUCCCGGUGUAGCGGUGAAAUGCGCAGAUAUCGGGAGGAACACCGGUGGCGAAGGCGGUUCUCUGGGCCUUACCUGACGCUGAGGAGCGAAGCCGUGGGGAGCGAACAGG
rnacentral:rRNA from 1 species